rnacentral:lncRNA from 1 species
ACUCUCGCGUUUGAAAAUUAAAUUAACCUCAUCUGAGAUUUGAAAUUUGUAAUAAAUAUUCCCUCUUGAAAUACACUGACUACCCCUAAAGUUCUGAGUUAAUCCACAAGACCCCCUGACGUCACUGAAUAGUGGUUAACAUACCAUCUGUGUAUUUUUUUUGACAAGUUAUUAUAUACUCUACAAAGAAUUUUAAAAUUGAAUAACCAAAAAGUGAAUCAUAUUGACUUAUUAACUAUUUAAUUUGUAUCACUAUACAAAAAAAAAAAAAAAAAAAAACCCUUUUUCGUUAUUUAAUAUGUUUGAAAUAGUGAAUAAAAAUUAAUCCGUAUUGUACACGGCUUAAAUUAAAUGCUCUUAUGUUAAAAUACUAUUAUUUUUUUAGUCAUUCAAGCAAGAUCUUUAUGGGGUAUAUGAGUAAUUUUGAUCAAAAAAAAUGACAAAUCUAAAUUUUCAACCACCAUUCAGCUGCAAUCAUGGAUGGACAUUCAAUCUUGCUAAAGUACGAAACAAAUCUGUUACAAAAGUUUUUUAAAAAGUAAGGGAGGUCCAUUGUAAUUUUUUAACAUUAGAGUACAUCUGUAUUAAAAGAAAUCUCAGGGAAGUCAUUGUAAUUUUCAACGUCUCCGACCUCAGUGUAUUUCCACCCCUCUAUUAAUUGGAUUAUCAAAUAACGUUGCUGGUGUGAGCAUAUUUAAAAAGUUGACCUUGGAAAAUAAGGCCCCAUUUUCUAGUUUGAACUGGAAUGCAAAACAACCCUACCAAACGCAAUGACCCCCACCCCGUGUCCAUUGUGGUUUCAACUGUUCUUUUCUCCAGAAAGACCACCCCUCUCUCUCUAAAUUAUUCAUAAUUAUAUAUCCCUCCCCAAUCCCCAAAACCCUCUCCAUCUUGACCCUCCACUUCACCGUUCAUGGAUUCUAUCUCCCAAAUUUCCAAAACCAUUUAUCAUGAACCAUUUUUCAAAACUCUAUCAACGACUUUCUCUAAAACGUAUUCAAAAUUAGCCAUCUCUGCAUCUGACCCUUUCUCUAUGUUUUCUCGUAACCUUUCACAAAAAAACACAAAUCAAGACAAGCCAAUUCAGUUACUUGGGUUUAAAUUUUUUCUCAGAUAGGUAGUGAGACAGAAUUUUCCUGAAUUUUCAAUUGCCAUGUUCCUCACCCACCCCCUACCCCACCACGAUGGGAAGAGGGGAGGAGAGAGAAAUUCCAAGGGGUUGCCUGGCGGUGGUGGUCGGGCAAGGGGAGGAGCUGUUGUGCCCAAUGACUAGUCACAGUCACAUCUAGCAUAAUCAACCCACACACAAGACACAAAUAUACGUGGUUCGGCCAAUCUGACCUCUCCCAGGAGAAGAUGACCCAAUUCACUAUAUCAGGAAUGAAUUACAAUGAGUACAAUAGGGAGGAGCUCAUCUCCACUACCUUUCAGCACUCUCUCAUCUCUCCACCAUCUCACUGUCUGUUCUCUCCUCUAACAGACCAUAACUCUCACCCUCAGCAGAUCUUCUCUGCUAUCAGUCAAUCCCCCAGGCCCUUUUGCACAUAGUAACAAGCUGUGUGCUCCCAGUAAUCCCCCAAGGAUUAUUCUUGCUCCGCCUCUCUUCUCUCUGGCAACUCUCUCAAUUUAUAACCACAGAGCCAAGAGAUGAGCUCAUGGCGAGCUAUUCAUGCUCCAUCUGACCAUGGAGAGCCUCCACUGCGACUUCUUCGCAGCCGCUUCAACUUCUCUCUGUCUCUCUUUCUCUCUCAGCCUCAAUCAGAGACUUUGUCUCUGACAACUUGCAACCAAGAAUACAUUUAGAAGAAAGAAUAUAAAUUGGUCAUGGGAUUGGGCUUUCUAAUUUGGGCUUAACUCAAUUGGGUUGGAUCCAACAGGAGCAAAAGAGGCGGUUUUUCCAAUGAGCUUACAGCAAACCACCCAUCUUGAUAUUGUUAAAAAGGAAGAAGAGGGAAAAAUAUGGGUUUGACCCACCCACUCUUACCAUCAUAUUUCCUUGCCACGUGGACGAGUUUCAUAUGGGCAUCAUUGACAAACAAGAGUCCAACCACCCCACCUCCUAGUGUUUGACUUCGGAUUAAAAAUAUAAAUUUUUUAAUUUAAAAUUAAGUAUAAAAUAGAACUUAUGUUUAUUUAAAGUUUAGAGUUUAAAUUUUAUUGAAAAGUUAACAAUUUGUGAGUCUAUUCUAAACAUACAUUAAAUAAAUUCAAGUUGCUUAUUUUAUACAAUUCAUGUUGAUACGACGUGAUGAAGAAAAAACAUAGCUACAAGAAGAUAAAAAUAUUAUCGAAAGAAGAUUUGGGACAAACUUAUUCGACAAAUAUAUAUAUAAGAUUUGGGACAAAUCCGAUAAUAUUUUUAUCCUCUUUUCUAGCAAUAUUUUUAUGCAAUCCCAAUAAAAAAACAUUGACAAAAUGUCUUUUUGUUGAUCAAGAAAAAUAUUAAAAACAAGUCAUCCCAGUCUUAUUGUUUUUUUUUUUGCUCAUCAAAAAAAGAAAG